rnacentral:rRNA from 1 species
AAAGCAAGGUGCUGCAUGGCCGUCGUCAGCUCGUGCCGUGAGGUGUUGGGUUAAGUCCCCGCAACGAGCGCAACCCCUACAAUUUAGUUGCCAUCAGGUCAAGCUGGGGACUCUAGAUGGACUGCCUGCGCAAGCAGUGAGGAAGGCGGGGACGACGUCAGGUCAUCAUGGCCCUUACGCCUAGGGCUACACACAGUGGUACAAUGGACGGUACAGAGGGUCGCUACACAGUGAUGUGAUGCCAAUCUCACAAAGCCGUUCUCAGUUCGGAUUGAAGUCUGCAACUCGACUUCAGGAAGCUGGAAUCACUAGUAAUCGCGUAUCAGGCAUGACGCGGUGAAUACGUUCCCGGGCCUUGUACACACCGCCCGUCAAGCCAUGGAAGUUUGGUAGACCUGAAGCUGGUGCUCGUCACAGAAGCCAGUUAGGGUAGAACAAGUAACUGGGGCU